rnacentral:rRNA from 1 species
AAUGAACGUUGGCGGCGUGGAUUAGGCAUGCAAGUCGUACGAGAAUCGUAGCAAUACGAGGAAAGUGGCGGAAGGGAGAGGAUUACGUGGGAAUCUACCCUCAGAACUGGGAUAGCGGCGGGAAACUGCCGGUAAUACCAGAUAAUGUCUGUGGACCAAAGGUGUGAUUCCGUCUGGGGAUGGGCCCACGUCCUAUUAGCUAGUUGGCAGGGUAAUGGCCUACCAAGGCAAUGAUGGGUAGCGGGUGUGAGAGCAUGACCCGCCUCACUGGGACUGAGAACUGCCCAGACACCUACGGGUGGCUGCAGUCGAGAAUCUUCGGCAAUGAGCGCAAGCUUGACCGAGCGACGCCGCGUGCGGGAUGAAGGCCUUCGGGUUGUAAACCGCUGUCGUAGGGGAGCAAGAGAUGAGGGUACUCCCUCUGAUUUGAGCGAUCCUAGGAGGAAGGACGGGCUAAGUUCGUGCCAGCCGCCGCAGUAACAC